rnacentral:rRNA from 1 species
GGCGGGACACGUGGUAUCCUGUCUGAAUAUGGGGGGACCAUCCUCCAAGGCUAAAUACUCCUGACUGACCGAUAGUGAACCAGUACCGUGAGGGAAAGGCGAAAAGAACCCCGGCGAGGGGAGUGAAAAAGAACCUGAAACCGUGUACGUACAAGCAGUGGGAGCACAGGUUUACCUGUGUGACUGCGUACCUUUUGUAUAAUGGGUCAGCGACUUAUAUUCUGUAGCAAGGUUAACCGUAUAGGGGAGCCGUAGGGAAACCGAGUCUUAACCGGGCGUUAAGUUGCAGGGUAUAGACCCGAAACCCGGUGAUCUAGCCAUGGGCAGGUUGAAGGUUGGGUAACACUAACUGGAGGACCGAACCGACUAAUGUUGAAAAAUUAGCGGAUGACCUGUGGCUGGGGGUGAAAGGCCAAUCAAACCGGGAGAUAGCUGGUUCUCCCCGAAAGCUAUUUAGGUAGCGCCUCGUGAAUUCAUCUCCGGGGGUAGAGCACUGUUUCGGCUAGGGGGCCAUCCCGGCUUACCAACCCGAUGCAAACUGCGAAUACCGGAGAAUGUUAUCACGGGAGACACACGGCGGGUGCUAACGUCCGUCGUGAAGAGGGAAACAACCCAGACCGCCAGCUAAGGUCCCAAAGUCAUGGUUAAGUGGGAAACGAUGUGGGAAGGCCCAGACAGCCAGGAUGUUGGCUUAGAAGCAGCCAUCAUUUAAAGAAAGCGUAAUAGCUCACUGGUCGAGUCGGCCUGCGCGGAAGAUGUAACGGGGCUAAACCAU